rnacentral:rRNA from 1 species
CCAGACUCCUACGGGAGGCAGCAGUGGGGAAUAUUGGACAAUGGGGGGAACCCUGAUCCAGCGACGCCGCGUGAGUGAAGAAGUAUUUCGGUAUGUAAAGCUCUAUCAGCAGGGAAGAAAAUGACGGUACCUGACUAAGAAGCCCCGGCUAACUACGUGCCAGCAGCCGCGGUAAUACGUAGGGGGCAAGCGUUAUCCGGAUUUACUGGGUGUAAAGGGCGUGUAGGCGGGAAAGCAAGUCAGAUGUGAAAACCAUGGGCUCAACCUGGGGCCUACCUUUGAAACUGUUUUUCUUGAGUGCUGGAGAGGCAGGCGGAAUUCCUGGUGUAGCGGUGAAAUGCGUAGAUAUUAGGAGGAACACCAGUGGCGAAGGCGGUCUACUGGACAGCAACUGACGCUGAGGCUCGAAAGCGUGGGGAGCAAACAGGAUUAGAUACCCCCGUAGC